GCUGAAAUACCUCAAUCUGGUGAUCUCAAGACACGAAGAAGAAAGGGAAGUCCCUCUUCCUCAAAAGAAUGCUGACACCUGGCCAGCAUGGUAACAUCAGG